rnacentral:misc_RNA from 1 species
GAUGAAGAACGUAGCGAAAUGCGAUAAGUAAUGUGAAUUGCAGAAUUCAGUGAAUCAUCGAAUCUUUGAACGCACAUUGCGCCCGCCAGUAUUCUGGCGGGCAUGCCUGUCUGAGCGUCAUUUCAACCCUCAUGCCCCUAGGGCGUGGUGUUGGGGAUCGGCCAAAGCCCGCGAGGGACGGCCGGCCCCUAAAUCUAGUGGCGGACCCGUCGUGGCCUCCUCUGCGAAGUAGUGAUAUUCCGCAUCGGAGAGCGAUGAGCCCCUGCCGUUAAACCCCCAACUUUCCAAGGUUGACCUCAGAUCAGAUAGGAAUACCCGCUGAACUUAAGCAUAUCAAUAAGCGGAGGA